GCACCCAUAGCUCGGCUGGAUAGAGCGCCACUCUCCGAAGGUGGAGGUCACACGUUCGAAUCGUGUCGGCUGCG
rnacentral:tRNA from 1 species